CGACGUAGGUAACCUGCCUGGUAGCGGGGGAUAACUAUUGGAAACGAUAGCUAAUACCGCAUAAGAGUAGAUGUUGCAUGACAUUUACUUAAAAGGUGCAAUUGCAUCACUACCAGAUGGACCUGCGUUGUAUUAGCUAGUUGGUGGGGUAACGGCUCACCAAGGCGACGAUACAUAGCCGACCUGAGAGGGUGAUCGGCCACACUGGGACUGAGACACGGCCCAG
rnacentral:rRNA from 1 species